CCUACGGGAGGCAGCAGUGAGGAAUAUUGGUCAAUGGCCGAGAGGCUGAACCAGCCAAGUCGCGUGAGGGAAGACGGCCCUACGGGUUGUAAACCUCUUUUGUCGGGGAGCAAAGCGAGUCACGUGUGACUCAUUGAGAGUACCCGAAGAAAAAGCAUCGGCUAACUCCGUGCCAGCAGCCGCGGUAAUACGGAGGAUGCGAGCGUUAUCCGGAUUUAUUGGGUGUAAAGGGUGCGCAGGCGGAGGUGCAAGUCAGCGGUCAAAUUGCGGGGCUCAACCCCGUACUGCCGUUGAAACUGCAGCCCUUGAGUGCGCGAGAAGUAUGCGGAAUGCGUGGUGUAGCGGUGAAAUGCAUAGAUAUCACGCAGAACUCCGAUUGCGAAGGCAGCAUACCGGCGCGCAACUGACGCUCAUGCACGAAAGCGUGGGUAUCGAACAGGAUUAGAUACCCGUGUAGUC
rnacentral:rRNA from 1 species